UACGUAGGGUGCGAGCGUUAAUCGGAAUUACUGGGCGGAAAGCGUGCGCAGGCGGUGAUGUAAGACAGAUGUGAAAUCCCCGGGCUCAACCUGGGAACUGCAUUUGUGACUGCAUCGCUGGAGUGCGGCAGAGGGGGAUGGAAUUCCGCGUGUAGCAGUGAAAUGCGUAGAUAUGCGGAGGAACACCGAUGGCGAAGGCAAUCCCCUGGGCCUGCACUGACGCUCAUGCACGAAAGCGUGGGGAGCAAACAGG
rnacentral:rRNA from 1 species